UUCCAAGAAAGAUUAUCUCCUACCACAAGUCUUUUCCUCUGAAUAUUCAGAGAUUAGAAGUGCUUUAAGAAAGAAGAAGCUCUAGAAAUAGGAAUGUUUCAAAAAAGAUAAUCUUCUACCACAAGUCUUUUCCUCUGAAUCUUCAGAGAUUAGAAGUGCUUUAAGAAAGAAGAAGCUCUAGAAAUAGGAAUGUUUCAAGAAAGAUUAUCUCCUACCACAAGUCUUUUCCUCUGAAUAUUCAGAGAUUAGUAGUGCUUUGAAACAGAAGAAGCUGCAGAAACAGGAAUAUUUCAAGAAUGAUUAUCUCCUACCACAAGUUUCUUUUCCUCUGAAUAUUCAGAGAUUAGUAGUGCUUUGAAACAGAAGAAGCUGCAGAAACAGGAAUAUUUCAAGAAUGAUUAUCUCCUACCACAAGUUUCUUUUCCUCUGAAUAUUCAGAGAUUAGUAGUGCUUUGAAACAGAAGAAGCUGCAGAAACAGGAAUAUUUCAAGAAUGAUUAUCUCCACCACAAGUGUCUUUUCCUCUCCAGAUUAUAUAGUUGUGUUGAUUUUUU
rnacentral:lncRNA from 1 species